GGUUCCAUAGUGUAGCGGUUAGCACGCCUGCCUAGAAAGCAGAGAGCAUAGAGUCCUGGGUUGGAUUCCCAGAGGAACCA